CCUAUGGGAGGCAGCAGUGGGGGAUAUUGCACAAUGGGGGAAACCCUGAUGCAGCGACACCGCGUGAGUGAAGAAGUAUUUCGGUAUGUAAAGCUCUAUCAGCAGGGAAGAAAAUGACAGUACCUGACCAAGACCCCCCGGCUAACUACGUGCCAGCAGCCGCGGUAAUACGUAGGGGGCAAGCGUUAUCCGGAUUUCUGGGGUUAAAAGGGUGCGCAGGCGGGGGUGCAAGUCAGCGGUCAAAUUGCGGGGCUCAACCCCGUACUGCCGUUGAAACUGCAUCCCUUGAGUGCGCGAGAAGUAUGCGGAAUGCGUGGUGUAGCGGUGAAAUGCAUAGAUAUCACGCAGAACUCCGAUUGCGAAGGCAGCAUACCGGCGCGCAACUGACGCUCAUGCACGAAAGCGUGGGUAUCGAACAGGAUUAGAUACCCGAGUAGUC
rnacentral:rRNA from 1 species